rnacentral:rRNA from 1 species
AUUGAACGCUGGCGGCAUGCCUUACACAUGCAAGUCGAACGGCAGCAUGGGUGCUCGCACCUGAUGGCGAGUGGCGAACGGGUGAGUAAUACAUCGGAACGUACCCGGAAGUGGGGGAUAACGUAGCGAAAGUUACGCUAAUACCGCAUAUUCUGUGAGCAGGAAAGAGGGGGAUCGCAAGACCUCUCGCUUUCGGAGCGGCCGAUGUCGGAUUAGCUAGUUGGCGGGGUAAAGGCCCACCAAGGCAACGAUCCGUAGCGGGUCUGAGAGGAUGAUCCGCCAGACUGGGACUGAGACACGGCCCAGACUCCUACGGGAGGCAGCAGUGGGGAAUUUUGGACAAUGGGGGCAACCCUGAUCCAGCCAUGCCGCGUGAGUGAAGAAGGCCUUCGGGUUGUAAAGCUCUUUCGGCCGGGAAGAAAUCGCACAGGCUAAUACCUUGUGUGGAUGACGGUACCGGAAUAAGAAGCACCGGCUAACUACGUGCCAGCCGCCGCGGUAAAAC